UACGGAGGGGGCUAGCGUUGUUCGGAAUUACUGGGCGUAAAGCGCGCGUAGGCGGCUUUGUAAGUUAGAGGUGAAAGCCCGGAGCUCAACUCCGGAAUUGCCUUUAAGACUGCAUCGCUAGAAUCAUGGAGAGGUGAGUGGAAUUCCGAGUGUAGAGGUGAAAUUCGUAGAUAUUCGGAAGAACACCAGUGGCGAAGGCGACUCACUGGACAUGUAUAGACGCUGAGGUGCGAAAGCGUGGGGAGCAACAGG
rnacentral:rRNA from 1 species